rnacentral:lncRNA from 1 species
GAAUAUGGGGUUUUGGGGUUUGGGGUUUCGGAUUUUAGGGAUUUAAACGUAAUGCUCGUUAAUUCCUCGUAAUUUGACGUCGAAUGUACGACGUAAUCCUCGUUUAUUCCACGUAGGACAUAAUCGUCGUAAAGAACUCGUUAGCUUACGUGGAAAUAAAGACGAAAGUAAAAAAAAUAAAGAAAGCGAAACCCGUUAAUUCCACGUAGGACGGAAUCGUCGUAAAGACCUCGUAAGGUAAAUUGACGUAAAUACCACGUAAAGUAAAUGACGAAGGAGGCACUCUUUAAUUACACGUAGGAUGAUUUCGUCGUAAACACCUCGUAACAGAAAUCGUCGUAAAAACCUCGUAGACUUAAAAACUAGAAAAAAAAAGGAAAAGAAGAGAGACACCAGAUUUACAUGUGGCAAGACUUCCAGCAAUUAUAAUACUUAAGUCUCGCCCACAUAAAUUCUAAUAUCUUCUUCUCUUUCUUUUUUUCCAAAUAUUUCUAAUUUGGUGAAAAGCGAGACUAGCUACUUCC